AACAAAACGAAGAAAAAGAAAAGAAGUGAUAGCUCCUUUGUAGCGGAAAGUGAGAGAAGGGUAUCUGUUUUGUUUUGAUAAGAGCGACUUUGUAGCUUGAGUGCGUGCAGGUUCGUAAGUUUUCUCCUUUCUGCUGCUAUUGCUUUUGUUAGUUUUUGUGUGGUUUUGGUUUUUGAUUGGGUUUUUGGUUGUCGAUGGUUUUGAAUUUCUAUGGGUUUUUGAUUGGGUCUUUUGUUGUCGGUGGUUUUGAAUUUCUAUGGGUUUUUGAUUGGGUCAUUUGCUGUGAGGAAGAAGAAGUCCUGUGCUAGCUGCUAUAUCCUUUCAGUAUAUAAGCGAAUCGAGUUUCAGCUUCGCUGUUCUGUGUGAUCAAAUUUUGCCAUCGAUGUCAACGAUCGUGAAAGCUUGGUGAGAUUUCGAUUUGGUACCAACACACUCUUAAAAUAACGGAACAGUCGCAUAGAUGAUGGUAUUUAUGAAAGAAACCCAGAACAUUGAAUUAAAGUCAAUGUUGUAUCUGCAAGAGCUUACCACUCCCUCUUUAUGCAUAACAUGGCAAGCAUUACUCCUAGAACUGUGUUGAUCAUUCUGGCUGGAACGUUCAGAGGCAAUACAGUUAUCCUUUUGAAGCACGUAAAUUGCACUGAAGGAACAAGGGCAAUAACGUCAGUGAGCCAAAUUCAUAUGUGAAGGAAGUAGGAGUUUCAAAAUUGAAGCUGAAGCAGCAGAGGAUAAGGGGUCAAGGCACAUCAUGAUAAUUGGUUUUGUUUAUUAUGCUCACUGUUUAGGUCUGAUGUAGUAUUGUGAAUGAAGUAUUGUUGGGAGGUGUUUUGUAAAGUUUCGAAAUUUCAAUGUUCAGGUGUGCAGAUUUUGCAAUUCAUGAUGAGCAUGGAGGUUGAUUAGCUGCAGAAUAUGCUAAGAAGGAUUUGCAUAUAUAUGUACUUUCAGUUGCAUUACCAUGAAUGAUGUAACUGUCUUCGCAUGCACAUUAGUAGAUAACGGAUCAAUUUUCUUGAUAUCUGACUUACUGCAUUCCUGCAAUCUGUUCGAGUCUAAUUGGAUUCUGUGGUGCUGCAGUUGAUUGAGAAAGCAGCCGAGAAAGCCAUUUUGCAUGGUACAAAUUUAUUAUGGGCUAUGGCUGGUUACUUCUUAUGAAUUAGCAAACCUAAAGCAUUUUUAGCUGAUAAAUAAGUGGAUGGUGCACUUUGAUUAGCAACUCAGCUUCGACAUAUUUCGAUAGCUUAUGCAAUGACCAUAAAAUGAUGCUCCUACAAGAUCUACAGAGAUUGGAAGCAGUUCUAUAUGUUUCAAGAGUACAUCAACACAAUUAAUGAUCUGUAAAAGUUCUGUAUCAAUGUUCGCGCCUCACAGGAUUGUAGUUACAAUUGCCACUGAUUUUGGAGUGAAACCUACUUUUGCUCUUUGGGUUAAACAUAAACAUACUACCAUGUAAUAUUAAAAGAUCAAUUGUAUUACAACUUUAACUAUCAUAUAACAAUGAUUCCCGCAGCAAAGCGCGGGCUCACUUCCUAGUAA